UCGAGAAUCUUUCGCAAUGGGGGAAACCCUGACGAAGCGACGCCGCGUGCAGGAUGAAGGUUUUCGGAUUGUAAACUGCUGUCGGCUGGGAAGAAAAAGCUGAUGUCUAACAAGCAUCAGCCUUGACGGUACCGGCAAAGGAAGCCACGGCUAACUCUGUGCCAGCAGCCGCGGUAAUACAGAGGUGGCAAGCGUUGUUCGGAUUUAUUGGGCGUAAAGGGUCCGUAGGCGGCCUGGAAAGUUGGAUGUGAAAGCCCACAGCUCAACUGUGGAAUGGCAUUCAAAACUGCCAGGCUCGAGUGUGAAAGGGGUAAAGGGAAUUCCCGGUGUAAGGGUGAAAUCUGCAGAGAUCGGGAAGAACACCAGUCGCGAAGGCGCUUUACUGGUUCACAACUGACGCUGAGGGACGAAAGCUAGGGGAGCAAACGGG
rnacentral:rRNA from 1 species